rnacentral:rRNA from 1 species
ACUGGUGAGUAACACGUGGGAAACCUGCCCNGAAGCGGGGGAUAACACCUGGAAACAGAUGCUAAUACCGCAUAACAACUUGGACCGCAUGGUCCGAGNUUGAAAGAUGGNUUCGGCUAUCACUUUUGGAUGGUCCCGCGGNGUAUUAGCUAGAUGGUGGGGUAACGGCUCACCAUGGCAAUGAUACGUAGCCGACCUGAGAGGGUAAUNGGCCACAUUGGGACUGAGACACGGCCCAAACUCCUACGGGAGGCAGCAGUAGGGAAUNUUCCACAAUGGACGAAAGUCUGAUGGAGCAACGCCGCGUGAGUGAAGAAGGGUUUCGGCUCGUAAAACUCUGUUGUUAAAGAAGAACAUAUCUGAGAGUAACUGUUCAGGUAUUGACGGUAUUUAACCAGAAAGCCACGGCUAACUACGUGCCAGCAGCCGCGGUAAUACGUAGGUGGCAAGCGUUGUCCGGAUUUAUUGGGCGUAAAGCGAGCGCAGGCGGUUUUUUAAGUCUGAUGUGAAAGCCUUCGGCUCAACCGAAGAAGUGCAUCGGAAACUGGGAAACUUGAGUGCAGAAGAGGACAGUGGAACUCCAUGUGUAGCGGUGAAAUGCGUAGAUAUAUGGAAGAACACCAGUGGCGAAGGCGGCUGUCUGGUCUGUAACUGACGCUGAGGCUCGAAAGUAUGGGUAGCAAACAGGAUUAGAUACCCUGGUAGUCCAUACCGUAAACGAUGAAUGCUAAGUGUUGGAGGGUUUCCGCCCUUCAGUGCUGCAGCUAACGCAUUAAGCAUUCCGCCUGGGGAGUACGGCCGCAAGGCUGAAACUCAAAGGAAUUGACGGGGGCCCGCACAAGCGGUGGAGCAUGUGGUUUAAUUCGAAGCUACGCGAAGAACCUUACCAGGUCUUGACAUACUAUGCAAAUCUAAGAGAUUAGACGUUCCCUUCGGGGACAUGGAUACAGGUGGUGCAUGGUUGUCGUCAGCUCGUGUCGUGAGAUGUUGGGUUAAGUCCCGCAACGAGCGCAACCCUUAUUAUCANUUGCCAGCAUUAANUUGGGCACUCUGGUGAGACUGCCGGUGACAAACCGGAGGAAGGUGGGGAUGACGUCAAAUCAUCAUGCCCCUUAUGACCUGGGCUACACACGUGCUACAAUGGAUGGUACAACGAGUUGCGAACUCGCGAGAGUAAGCUAAUCUCUUAAAGCCAUUCUCAGUUCGGAUUGUAGGCUGCAACUCGCCUACAUGAAGUCGGAAUCGCUAGUAAUCGCGGAUCAGCAUGCCGCGGUGAANACGUUCCCGGGCCUUGUACACACCGCCCGUCCACACCAUGAGAGUUUNUAACACCCAAAGUCG